UUUUGAAGAUUGAGAACGUGUAGCCUUACCC
rnacentral:rRNA from 1 species